rnacentral:rRNA from 1 species
AAUAUUGCACAGUGGGCGCAAGCCUGCUGCAUCAACGCCGCGUGCGCGACGAAGGCAUUCGGGUCGUAAAGCGCUUUUUGGGGAGAUGAGCGAGAGCAGUCCGCGCGGUACAAGGAACGGCCAACUACGUGUCAGCAGCCGCGGUAAAACGAAGGGUCCGAGCGUUAUCCGAAUUCACUGGGCGUAAAGCGCAUGCAGGCGGCCGCACAAGUUGGAUGUGAAAUCUCCCGGCUCAACUGGGAGGGUACGUCCAAAACUGAGCGGCUCGAGAGCGGGAGAGGAAGGUAGAAUUCCCGGUGUAGCGGUGAAAUGCGUAGAUAUCUGGAGGAAUACCCGUGGCGAAGGCGACCUUCUGGACCGUUUCUGACGCUGAGAUGCGAAAGCUAGGGGAGCGAACGGG